GGCCCUAUGGGUUGUAAACUUCUUUUGUAUGGGAAGAAAAGCAGUUACGUGUAAUUGUCUGCCGGUACCAUACGAAUAAGGAUCGGCUAACUCCGUGCCAGCAGCCGCGGUAAUACGGAGGAUCCAAGCGUUAUCCGGAUUUAUUGGGUUUAAAGGGUGCGUAGGCGGCUCUAUAAGUCAGUAGUGAAAUCUCGAAGCUCAACUUCGAACGUGCUAUUGAAACUGUAGAGCUUGAGUACAGACGAGGCAGGCGGAAUGUGUUGUGUAGCGGUGAAAUGCUUAGAUAUAACACAGAACACCGAUAGCGAAGGCAGCUUGCCAGACUGUAACUGACGCUGAGGCACGAAAGCGUGGGGAGCGAACAGGAUUAGAUACCCUGGUAGUCCACGCCGUAAACGAUGAUUACUGGUUGUAGGCGAUACAUUGUCUGUGACUGAGCGAAAGUAUUAAGUAAUCCACCUGGGGAGUACGUCGGCAACGAUGAAACUCAAAGGAAUUGACGGGGGCCCGCACAAGCGGAGGAACAUGUGGUUUAAUUCGAUGAUACGCGAGGAACCUUACCUGGACUUAAAUGUAGAUUGCAUAGAGUGGAGACAUUCUUUUCUUCGGACUAUCUACAAGGUGCUGCAUGGUUGUCGUCAGCUCGUGCCGUGAGGUGUCGGGUUAAGUCCCAUAACGAGCGCAACCCCUAUCGUUAGUUGCUAGCAGGUAAUGCUGAGAACUCUAGCGAGACUGCCACCGUAAGGUGUGAGGAAGGUGGGGAUGACGUCAAAUCAGCACGGCCCUUACGUCCAGGGCUACACACGUGUUACAAUGGCAGGUACAAAGGGCAGCUACAUAGCGAUAUGAUGCUAAUCUCAAAAACCUGUCUCAGUUCGGAUAGGAGUCUGCAACUCGACUCCUUGAAGCUGGAUUCGCUAGUAAUCGUAUAUCAGCAAUGAUACGGUGAAUACGUUCCCGGGCCUUGUACACACCGCCCGUCAAGCCAUGGAAGUUAGGGGUACCUAAAGUACGUAACCGCAAGGAGCGUCCUAGGGUAAAACUGGUAACUGGGGCUAAGUCGUAACAAGGUAGCCGUACCGGAAGGUGUGGCUGGAACACCUCCUUUCU
rnacentral:rRNA from 1 species